GGUGUCAUAGCUCAAGUAGUAGAGCAACUACCUAACAAGCAGAGGUGUCUGGCCUCAAAUCCUAGUAUCACCA
rnacentral:tRNA from 1 species